CAAAAAUCCUCAUAAGUUAGACGAUAAGAGGUACCAUCUAAAUAAAAUAAUAGAUGGUGGCACAUAAUCGGAGGCCCCGACUGUUUACUAAAAACACAACACAGUGCAAUCAUUAAUGUGAUAGUAUACUGUGUGAAAUUUGCCCAAUGCCAUUAAUAUAAAAGCGGUCAUAUACAACUGUGACUAAUUGAAAAUCUGGUUAAUAGCGGUCUUAACCAUGAGGAUCCUAAGGUAGCAAAAUAAAUUGGCCAUUAAAUGUGGUCCGGUAUCAAUAAUGUAACGAUGGCCUCACUGUCUCUACAACUUGCUCAGUGAAAUUGAAUUACGCGUGCAGAUGCGCGUUACCUCCAGUGGGACGGGAAGACCCUAUGCAGCUUCU
rnacentral:rRNA from 1 species